UCAAUAAGCGGAGGAAAAGAAACUAACAAGGAUUCCCCUAGUAACGGCGAGUGAAGAGGGAAAAGCCCAGCACCGAAGCCUGCGGCAGUUUUGCUGUUAGGCAAUGUGGUGUUUAGGUCGGCUCGCGGGACUGCUGCUCCAUUCUAAGUCCAGCUUUGAGUAUGGCUUCUGGACUUGGCCCACAGAGGGUGAAAGGCCCGUUCGAAUGGAGGAUAAGAGAAGUGAGUAGUCCACUAUGCCGGCCUUCGAGUCGGGUUGUUUGAGAAUGCAGCCCAAAGAGGGUGGUAGACUCCAUCCAAGGCUAAAUACUAGCACGAGUCCGAUAGCGAACAAGUACCGUGAGGGAAAGUUGAAAAGUACUUUGAAGAGAGAGUAAACAGUACGUGAAACCGCAUAGAGGUAAACGGGUGGCGUCAAGCUGCACGCUUAGAGGAUUCAGUCGGUCAGGAUGUUGUGUAUGCGCCUGGCGCAUCUAUCAGUCGGAGUGAGAUAAAGUAGUCCGUUGGGUAACAGCGGGCCCGGCCGAAAGGCUGGGAUUUGUAUUCCGUGUUAUGUGCGGAGCUUGCUACUUGUCUAUGGACUGCCUGGCCGAUGCAUUUUCUCUGUGGCGAACACCACGACCGGUGGUACUGCCAGUCUGCUGUGGUAAAGUCGGGUUCAGUCGGCCUUGUGUUGGUUGAGCUUGAUCAUAGGCAAGCGGUGUGCGGGUGCGUAUGUACUUGUACACCGCUUUGUCAACGGGUCUGUUUGCUGACGAUUGUAGUAGUUGGCGAAUGGCCUGGUGGACCAUGGUGGUAAGAAUAACUGUGCAGGGCACCGGUGAUUUCGGUCUCUAAUUUGGCUCGCUCACACACUACAAGUGGGUGUGGGUCGUCGUUGCAGUCUGCCUGUGAUUGGGUUUGAUUGUCGUGUUGCCUGCGCAAAGUAGGUCCGGCAGUAGCCUGAUUUUGGAUGGUAUUGCUAGCGGCGUCUCUUCUGCGGGCUGAUGAGGGCCU
rnacentral:rRNA from 1 species